AUGGAUCUCAGCGCACUAUAUGAAGCUUCAGAAGGGAAGGAAAGACUAAGAGUGCUCAACGGAAUCAUAGGAGCUCCUGGAGCAUGCACAUGCGACUGGAUGCAACAGGGGAGCUCGAACUGCUUGAGUUCGUCGGCCAUGGCGGCGGCCGUGCUUAGAGCUCGCGGGGAUGACGCUACAGUGCAAAUUAAAGCAGAGGAGAUGGGGGAAAUCAAAGAGGGAGAAAACGGUCCGAGAAAGAUUGCAACAAGACCGUUGUUGUAG
rnacentral:rRNA from 1 species